rnacentral:lncRNA from 1 species
CUCGGUCACGAGGAACGGUGGAGUUUAGAACCUGUGAGUACGUUAGAUAGUUCGCAGUCGAGUAAGAACAGAGUUCGGGCAAGGGCGGCUGGUCCGGGACCAAGGGAAAACACGCUGGCAUGGUGAUAAGAAAAAGCAUGCUGAUCUGAACUCUGGAAGAGAACCUUUGUCAAUCAAUAUCUAGCGUUGUCCCAGGAAGAGAGAUUCAAUGUGUAGCAGACACUGGAAAGCCUACCUUAUAUAAGUGCAAGGGGAUCUGCGCUGACCCUGCCCCAUUUAUUCAAGGUCCUGGUACUUAAGGAAUACCUUUCAGAAGGAUGGAUGAAUAUGAAGAAACUAAGGAGCAAAGGAAUCAAAGAUUUCUUCCAGUCCACUCGGGAAGUUAGCUGCAUAGUUAGAAAUAGAACUCUAAACUCCUGGCCUGUUUUCCAAACCACAGAUAUGCUUGGUUUAUGCAGGUUUCGUCUGCUGCCCGCUUAGUGCUGAAGUCACUUCCUGCUGCUGUUGGCACAUCUGCUCCCGCAGCUGAGCUUUUUCUGAAGGGAACCCUGACAUUAAUAAGAUUCUCAAGCGGAUCUGGAGAAGGGCAGAGGGAGAAAGAGGGAACGAGAGAAGGAGAAGAAACAAUCACUGAUCUAGGUAGAUUAUAGGCUAUUACAUAAUUAAAUUUAUUUUAUACACUAAUAUUCCUAUUAAGGUUUAAGGAUAUUUAAUCUCUGCCACUUACUUGGAAUUGCUCCACAUCUACCUAUUCACUAAGAAACUCAACCAAUUAAAAUUUUAAAUAAAUCAGAAUAAUUCUGACAGUGUGACUAUAAUAGUUAAAUGAACCUGGAUGGAUACACACACACAUAUAAAUGUUCCAGAUUUUUUAACGGGGGCCUGAGGGUGCUGAUUCAGUGAGAUUUGUAUCAUAUUUUGGACCAUGAUUCCCAUUAGAACUACCUGCAUUUGAUAGAAAGAGAGCUCUAAUCAAGUAUUAGUAUUCUGCACACAGUUAGGGUGAAAUUUUUUAGACCCCUGAAGCACAAUCCUGCACAGCACAGAAACGGAUUUCCAUCAUAGAGGAUGAGAUUUGAUGACUUUUAUCUCAGUAUAUGCAACUAUAACCAUUGUUAUUACUCACAAACAUUAUCUGGUGUAUGUUAUAACAUUGGACUCUGUGAUGCCCAGAAUAUGUGACUACCUCAGAGAAGCUCUAUUUUGAGUUAGAACUGUUACCAGAAAGGGGUCCCGAUCCAGAACCCAAGAGAAGGUUCUUGGAUCUUGUGCAAGAAAGAAUUCAGGGUGAGUCCCUAAAGUGAAAGCAACUUUGUUAAGAAAGUAAAGGAAUAAAAGGGCUGCUGGUUGCCCAUUUUUAUGGUUAUUUAUUGAUGAUAUGCUAAACAAGGGGUGGAUUAUUCAUGUCUCCCCUUUUUAGACCAUAUAAGGUAACUUCCUGAUGUUGCCAUGGCAUUUGUAAACUGCCAUGGCACUGGUGGGAGUGUAGCAGUGACGAUGAACAGACGUCACUCUUCUGGCCAUCUUGGUUUUGGUGAGUUUUGACCAGAUUCUCUACUGUAAACUGUUUUUAUCAGCAAAGUCUUUAUGACCUGUAUCUUGUGCUGACCUCCUAUCUCAUCCUGUGACUUAGAAUGCCUUCAGUGUCUGGGAAUGCAACCCAGUAGGUCUCAGCCAUAUUUUACCCAGCCCCUAUUCAAGAUGGAGUUGCUCUAGUUCAAACACCUCUGACAGAACUAUUUCUGUUUAUACCCCUAUAAUUGCUACUAGUUUCAUGAACUUCAGUGCAGGUGAGAAGGAGAGGGCAGAGAAUUUGGGAAGGAGUGCAGGAAUCACAAGCCAGCUGCAUUCUUCACAAGAGGUCAGUAGAAACACUAAGCACUCAACAUACUAACCACACUCUUUAGUUAGAAUACAUAUGUACAUGUGCACAUUCAAGACACAGAAAUAACUAGGAAGGUGGAGGGUUUCUUUUGCUGUAGUUGAGGUUGCUCUUAAGUGUUUUUUGUCAUGAGACAAAAGAGGUCAUCAUGCCUUGUGAUAACCACAAGGCAUGAUCAUUUUCCCAACUGCCACUUAUUCAAGCAGUGGCUUUUUUAAACAGACUGGGUAGCUGUCCCAGAAAAUUCUGGAUUCUGUAGAUUUUUUUUCAAUCUGUUUCCAUGCCCUAUAACCUAUAAAUUACAUAUGAAGGCUUGGUUAGAUUCAGGGCUAAAAUUUGUGGCAUGGAUGCUUCAAGGUGGUACUGUGUGCUUCAUAUUACAUCCCAUCAGAAAGUAAAUAAUACCCAUUUGCCCUGCUUUCAAUAGUGCUAAGACUCAUCAACAGAUUCAGGUGGUGACUGCCUGAUCCCUGGUUGUAAAGUUGUUGUAUGACCCUUUGGCACCCUCGGAAUGUCCAGCUCCUCAUUAAUAUUUUACUUUUUAGUCUUAGCAGCCAUUGAUACUCAUUUCCUAAAUCAGUGAUUUCGCUACAUGUUGUAAAAUGGUGAUUUUUCUAUCAUCCUUUCUACAUUUAUUUGAAUACUUCUGUCAGAAUAGCUCUCUCUCAUCAACUAUUUUGUGACUUACAAAUAGAGUUUUCACAGAAAAUGCAGAUCAAGACUUAAUUCUUUCCUGUUAAUUAUUAAUUUUCAGAGUACGAAGUUGAUGGACUACCUCCAGCUGUGACAAAUGAGUUGUGUUUGUUACUUUGGCUUUCUCUUUGGGGUAUUACAAAUUCAUGAAUUUUUAUUUAAUUAGUGAGUUUCAAUAAAUUGCCAUCAUUAUUCUUUUUGAUGGUGAAAUUGUCCACCAUUGGCCAGUGGUCAGCUUCCUUACUUCCCAGCAUAAUAAGGUGAUUCAUUUUCGGUUUGUCAUUUCCCACCCCACCCCUGGAACCAGUUAUUCCUCCAAGAACUACUUGUUUUUAGUAAAGAAUAGUAUUCAGAGCCCAUCGUGUAGGUAUUAACACUCUCGUGUGACUGGAUUCUUACUAUUUCUGGGUUUUUUAAAAAACAUUUUAAAGACAUUAAGAACUUAUAUUUAUAUCCCAAAUAUGUUUGAAUAUUUUACAUAUCAAAUUCAAGUUUCAAUUUCAAUAUUCAAUUAGUUCACUUUCAAAUUUAAUAAAAAACAACCCAAGUUUUUCUUUUAAAUUUUAUACUCGUGGCCAGGUGCAGUGGCUCACUCCUGUAAUCCCAGCACUUUGGGAGGCUGGGUCAGGCGGAUCACCAGGUCAAGAGAUCGAGACCAUCCUGGCCAACAUGGUGAAACCCCGUCUCUACUAAAAAUACAAAAAUUAGCUGGGUGCAGUGGUGUGUGCCUGUAGUCCCAGCUACUCGGGAGGCUGAGGCAGAAGAAUCACUUGAACCCGGGAGGUGGAGGUUGCAGUGAGCUGAGAUCACACCACUGCACUCCAGCCUAGCGAUAGAGCCAGACUCCACGUCAAACAAAAAAAAAAAGAAGAAUUUAGGCUGGGCACGGUGGCUUAUGCCUGUAAUCCCAGCACUUUGGGAGGCAGAGGAGGGCGGAUCAUGAAGUCAGGAGAUCGAGACCAUCCUGGCUAACACAGUGAAACCCCGUCUCUACUAAAAAUACAAAAAAUUAGCCGGGAAUGGUGGCGGGUGCCUGUAGUCCCAGCUACUUGGGAGGCUGAGGUAGGAGAAUGGCGUGAACCUGGGAGGCAGAGCUUGCACUGAGCUGAGAUCAUGCCACUGCACUCCAGCCUGGGAGACAGAGCAAGACUCCGUCUCAAAAAAAAAAAAAGAAAUUUAUACUCAUUAUCUCCUUUCUCUUACAGUGAAAAUUAUGAUUUCUAAAAAUAUCAACAUUAAUUUUUUAUUUACAAGUAUAGUAUACAUGUCUCAAAAUAGAAAUAUAAUAUAGUUUAUU